CCUACGGGAGGCAGCAGUGGGGAAUAUUGCACAAUGGGGGAAACCCUGAUGCAGCGACGCCGCGUGAGUGAAGAAGUAUUUCGGUAUGUAAAGCUCUAUCAGCAGGGAAGAAAAUGACGGUACCUGAUUAAGAAGCCCCGGCUAACUACGUGCCAGCAGCCGCGGUAAUACGUAGGGGGCAAGCGUUAUCCGGAUUUACUGGGUGUAAAGGGAGCGUAGACGGCAGCACAAGUCUGGAGUGAAAUGCCGGGGCUUAACCCCGGAACUGCUUUGGAAACUGUGCAGCUAGAGUGCAGGAGAGGUAGGUGAAAUUCCUGGGGUGGCGGUGAAGUGCG
rnacentral:rRNA from 1 species